AACGAGUUAUCUGAACCUUCGGGGGACGAUAACGGCGUCGAGCGGCGGACGGGUGAGUAAUGCCUAGGAAAUUGCCCUGGUGUGGGGGAUAACCAUUGGAAACGAUGGCUAAUACCGCAUAAUACCUUCGGGUCAAAGAGGGGGACCUUCGGGCCUCUCGCGUCAGGAUAUGCCUAGGUGGGAUUAGCUAGUUGGUGAGGUAAUGGCUCACCAAGGCGACGAUCCCUAGCUGGUCUGAGAGGAUGAUCAGCCACACUGGAACUGAGACACGGUCCAGACUCCUACGGGAGGCAGCAGUGGGGAAUAUUGCACAAUGGGCGCAAGCCUGAUGCAGCCAUGCCGCGUGUGUGAAGAAGGCCUUCGGGUUGUAAAGCACUUUCAGUCGUGAGGAAGGUAGUGUAGUUAAUAGCUGCAUUAUUUGACGUUAGCGACAGAAGAAGCACCGGCUAACUCCGUGCCAGCAGCCGCGGUAAUACGGAGGGUGCGAGCGUUAAUCGGAAUUACUGGGCGUAAAGCGCAUGCAGGUGGUUUGUUAAGUCAGAUGUGAAAGCCCGGGGCUCAACCUCGGAAUAGCAUUUGAAACUGGCAGACUAGAGUACUGUAGAGGGGGGUAGAAUUUCAGGUGUAGCGGUGAAAUGCGUAGAGAUCUGAAGGAAUACCGGUGGCGAAGGCGGCCCCCUGGACAGAUACUGACACUCAGAUGCGAAAGCGUGGGGAGCAAACAGGAUUAGAUACCCUGGUAGUCCACGCCGUAAACGAUGUCUACUUGGAGGUUGUGGCCUUGAGCCGUGGCUUUCGGAGCUAACGCGUUAAGUAGACCGCCUGGGGAGUACGGUCGCAAGAUUAAAACUCAAAUGAAUUGACGGGGGCCCGCACAAGCGGUGGAGCAUGUGGUUUAAUUCGAUGCAACGCGAAGAACCUUACCUACUCUUGACAUCCAGAGAACUUUCCAGAGAUGGAUUGGUGCCUUCGGGAACUCUGAGACAG
rnacentral:rRNA from 1 species